GUCCACGCCGUAAACGUUGGGCACUAGGUGUGGGUCUCUAACCAACGAGAUCCGCGCCGUCGCUAACGCAUUAAGUGCCCCGCCUGGGGGAGUACGGUCGCAAGACUAAAACUCAAAGGAAUUGACGGGGGCCCGCACAAGCAGCGGAGCGUGUUGCUUAAUUCGAUGCUACGCGAAGAACCUUACCUAGGUUAAAUCAUUGGGAAAAGCCACAGAGAUGUGGUGUCCUUCGGGGCUCAAUGAAGGUGGUGCAUGGCUGUCGU
rnacentral:rRNA from 1 species